ACUUAAAUUGAAGAGUUUGAUCAUGGCUCAGAUUGAACGCUGGCGGCAGGCCUAACACAUGCAAGUCGAACGGUAGCACAGAGAGCUUGCUCUCGGGUGACGAGUGGCGGACGGGUGAGUAAUGUCUGGGAAACUGCCUGAUGGAGGGGGAUAACUACUGGAAACGGUGGCUAAUACCGCAUAACGUCGCAAGACCAAAGAGGGGGACCUUCGGGCCUCUUGCCAUCAGAUGUGCCCAGAUGGGAUUAGCUGGUUGGUGAGGUAACGGCUCACCAAGGCGACGAUCCCUAGCUGGUCUGAGAGGAUGACCAGCCACACUGGAACUGAGACACGGUCCAGACUCCUACGGGAGGCAGCAGUGGGGAAUAUUGCACAAUGGGCGCAAGCCUGAUGCAGCCAUGCCGCGUGUAUGAAGAAGGCCUUCGGGUUGUAAAGUACUUUCAGCGGGGAGGAAGGUGUUGUGGUUAAUAACCGCAGCAAUUGACGUUACCCGCAGAAGAAGCACCGGCUAACUCCGUGCCAGCAGCCGCGGUAAUACGGAGGUGCAAGCGUUAAUCGGAAUUACUGGCGUAAAGCGCACGCAGGCGGUCUGUCA
rnacentral:rRNA from 1 species